rnacentral:lncRNA from 1 species
AUGUAUGGUACCAAUAAAACGACUUUUCGGUUUGAGGCUGUCCCGAGCGCUUCUUUCCCAGCACAGGACCCGGGGGUGCCACGUGCCAGCGUGGGGACGAGAUGCUGGUCCCCUGUGUCCCCAGAGCAGGGCAGGCAGCUGGCCCCAGCGGUGACAUCCCCGGGUCCCCGGCCUUCGGAGCCCCUUGGGCAGCAGCUCCGGGGCCAUUUCACCCCGAGUGACCCCCCCCAGGGCAGGGAACCUGCGGCUGUGGGUAACGCCGGAGCAAGGGGGAGCAUUAACAGGAGGAAAAAGGGGGAAACAAUGGGGUUCCUGAACCAGGGGUGCACUGGAGGGUGGGGGCAGGGUUGGGCCCGUUUCCUCAUAGCAGAGGGGACAGGGGCAGGGACUGGGGUGACGUGUGUGACGAGGGAUGUCACCUUGUCAUCCUUCCCCUCGGUCUGGCCGGGGUGGCUGCAGGGUGACGGGGUCACGAUGGGUGCACGUGGCAGGGUGGGUGCCAGCAGGGUGGCCUCAGUCGGUCCGGCUGAUCCCGGGUGUCCGCAGCCCCGUUCCCCUCCUGCACCCAGCACCAGUGGCCUCUGCAGGACCCCCUGGGGGGGACAGGGGCAGUGCAGGGAGCGGGGUGACACCGGGGAGCGGGGUGACGCCACGGCACAGCGGAGGCAGGACCGGCAGCAGCCAGCCACCACCAGUCCCAGCUGCUCCCCACGCUCCCAGGGUGCCUGGCCGCAUCCUGCCCAUGCGCAGCCCCUUUGGGGUGCGCUCAGAGCCUUCCCCCCCCCCCCCCAGGUGCCCAGGAGCUGGCAGAGGGCCCGGCCGCUCCUCACCUCCUGGAUUGCGAGGAGCUGGGGGGGGGACCGGCUGGACAAGGCGUCCCCGGGGCUGCACCAGGAAGCAGCUCGGGGACGUUCCCCGUGCCCGCCGGGCGGGCGCAGGGCGUCAGCAGCCGGGAAAAGGCCGAGCUCCGUGCCCUGGGGGAAAGCAGCCAGAAACAACCGCCCCGAAACCUCGAGGGAUGAGCCGGGAGGGCUGCGGGUGAACCCCUAA